GCCUGGGUGGCUCAGUCGGUUGGGCGUCUGACUUCGGCUCGGGUCAUGAUCUCAUCGUCCGUGGGUUCGAGCCCCGCAUCCGGCU
rnacentral:tRNA from 1 species